CCAUGCCGCGUGCAGGAAGACGGCCUUCUGGGUUGUAAACUGCUUUUCUCAGGGAAGAAAACCGCUCUUGCGAGAGCGCUUGCCGGUACCUGAGGAAUAAGCACCGGCUAACUCCGUGCCAGCAGCCGCGGUAAUACGGAGGGUGCAAGCGUUGUCCGGAUUUAUUGGGUUUAAAGGGUGCGUAGGCGGCCCGUUAAGUCAGUGGUGAAAGGUAUCAGCUUAACUGAUGAAGUGCCAUUGAAACUGAAGGGCUUGAGUACAGACGAGGUAGGCGGAAUUUAUGGUGUAGCGGUGAAAUGCAUAGAUACCAUAAAGAACACCGAUAGCGAAGGCAGCUUACUAGACUGAGACUGACGCUGAGGCACGAAAGCGUGGGGAGCAAACAGGAUUAGAUACCCUGGUAGUCCACGCCGUAAACGAUGAUUACUGGAUGUAUGCGAUAGACAGCAUGCGUCUAAGCGAAAGC
rnacentral:rRNA from 1 species